rnacentral:tRNA from 1 species
AGCUGUUUAGUUUAAAAAAAAUUUUUAUUUGUGGUAUAAAAGAUGAUUAUAGCUA